rnacentral:lncRNA from 1 species
UUAUUGUUUUGGAAAUGGUAGUGGAAUAACUUUCACGUAUUUGAAAGAUAAGCUUUUGGGGAAAUAAACCGAAUAUAAUUUAGUAACUUCUUUUACUUGAAUUAAAACUUGGCCAAGGUUGUUAAAUUUUUCCUUGUAGAUACAUGGAUUUUGUGGUUUUCCAAGCUCUUUUUGUUUUGAUUAUAAUACACCUAGAGUACGGGUGAACCGUGUUGAGAAUUGUGAGAGCUUUGAACCUAUGAUCAUUGAUAUGCAACUAAGCGGUCAUUGUUCACGGGGUUUAGUCGAAAUACUACUUCCUUUGUGUAUCAAUUCUUUUGGAAAUGCAACUAAGCAGUCAUUGUUCACUUGGUUGUGAUUUUUCACAUUGUUGAGGACCUUGAGGAAUCAGUGGAUCAUCAUAGUACUUGUUUAAGCAAUUUCCCUGGAACCGAGUGAUGUAAAUCGUCCAUGAACAGAGAGAUUUGUUGUAAUUAGAGUAUUCCAUUUCCAAUUGCUAUUGCAGUCUUGCAGAUGUUGGGUAGUACGUAGUGCUUAAUUUUGUUUUGCUGCUUGGUCGGGUUUGCAUUAACAAAUGUGCACCGGGUGCAUCGACAAAUUUUCUGACGUAUUUUUGGGAGUGGAAAAUUUGGUUGGCUUGAGAGUAAGAUAUUGAUAAGAGGCUCAUGAGUUCCUACGUUUUUCUUUUCUUUUGAAGGAUAGUUACCAAGUAUAGUUUAGUUUCGAUAACUAUCCUUCAAAAUAAUAAACGUAGGAGCUCAUGAGAGCAUGAUAUUGAUAAGAAGCUCAGGAGCUCUUACGUUUUUUUUUGUUUUGUGGUUUACCAAGC